AUGUCUCUCGAGCCAUCCGGAGCAGCCUAUGCGUUUAGUUUUUCGAUUCGAACAUUUGUCACCCGAUUUUCCCGAACCAGAAUUGUUGGAAAUUCGAGUUUUCGGGUGAAAUUUGACCGAAUUGAACACAUUUUUGUAACUGUUGGCACAUGUAUAGCUGCACAUAAUUUUUAUAAAACAUGCCGGAUGGUUUUCAAGAGGUUAUCACUUGUUUCGGAAGCACUUUUCGGUUUAUGCACGUAUUAUGCGUUUUUUUUUAAAUAA